GACGAACGCUGGCGGCGUGCUUAACACAUGCAAGUCGAGCGGUAAGGCCCUUUCGGGGGUACACGAGCGGCGAACGGGUGAGUAACACGUGGGUGACCUGCCCUCAGCUCUGGGAUAAGCCUGGGAAACCGGGUCUAAUACUGGAUAUGACUCCAUGACGCAUGUUGUGGGGUGGAAAGCCUUGUGCGGCUGAGGAUGGGCCCGCGGCCUAUCAGCUUGUUGGUGGGGUGANGGCCUACCAAGGCGAUGACGGGUAGCCGGCCUGAGAGGGCGACCGGCCACACUGGGACUGAGACACGGCCCAGACUCCUACGGGAGGCAGCAGUGGGGAAUCUUGCGCAAUGGGCGAAAGCCUGACGCAGCGACGCCGCGUGAGGGAUGACGGCCUGGUGUAAC
rnacentral:rRNA from 1 species